AUUCCAGCUCCAAUAGCGUAUAUUAAAGUUGUUGCGGUUAAAAAGCUCGUAGUUGGAGUUCUGCCAGGUGGCGCUCGUCCGCCCAAGUGGUGUGUACAGGGCGUGCAUCUGGCCCUUUCAAGGGGAACGUGUCUGCACUUCAUUGUGUGGUGCGAGAUCCUUGACUUUUACUUUGAGGAAAUAAGAGUGUUCCAAGCAGGCUCUCGUCGUGCAUAGCUCAGCAUGGAAUAAUAGCAUUGGACUUCGUUUCUACGCUGUUGGUUGCAAGAAGCGAGGUAAUGAUGAAGAGGGAUAGUUGGGGGCAUUCGUAUUUAAUUGUCAGAGGUGGAAUUCUCGGAUUUGUUAAAGACUAACUUAUGCGAAAGCAUUUGCCAAGGAUGUUUUCAUUA
rnacentral:rRNA from 1 species